UUUUUUUUUUUUUUGUCUUUUUAGGGCCACAACUAUGGUACAUGGAAAUUUCCAGGCUAAGAGUCAAAUAAGAGCUAUAGCUGCUGGCCUAUGCCACUUCCACAGCAAUGCCAGAUCCAAGUCACAUCUGCAAUCUAUGCCACAGCUCAUGGCAAUGCUGAAUCCCUAACACACUAAGUGAGGCCAGGGAUUGAACCCACAUCCUCAUGGAUACUAUUUGGGUCUUAACCUGCUGGGCCACAAUGAGAACUCCUCGUAAUAACUAUAAUUACUAAAAUAUAGUACUGGUGUUUGGCAAGAUCAAUAGAACAAUAGAGAAAAACUCUAAAAUAAUUGGAUUGUGGGGCAGACAGCUAUAAAGAAAAAGUUUGAUCCAUGCUUCACACUAUAAUAUAAGCUUUAAACAAGUAUUAAAUGUGAAACAUAAGCCAUACAAGUUUUGAAAGAAUGCCUAUGAUGAUUUCUCCAAAAUUUUAGAGUGAGGACGCCCUUUCUAACUUAAUCAAAAGGAAAAAAAUAGGUACAUUUGAUUACUUAAACAAUACAAAGUUUUGCAAAGUAAAAAAUUUAUUGAUAUAUGGCAGUUAAAAGACAAUCAAAAAAUAGAAAAAAAUGUUUUCAAUUCAUAACACAAGAGAAAAAGGUGCUCUACAAGAAGUUGAGAAGAAUAUUAAUAACCCCCAAAAGAAAAAUGAGAUAAGAAUAAAAACAAAGAGUUUAUAAAAAAAGUACAAAUGUCCCUUAAACAUGUAAAAAGUUGCUAAGUCUCAAUUAUGAUGAAAGAACUGCAAAUUAAAACUACAUUUCAGUACCAGAUUUCAUUUUUCAGAUCAAUAAAAAUCCCCAAAGUUUGGCAACAGCCAUUUGGUAAGGUUAUAGGAAGACAGACUCUCAGAUAUCUCCAGUGAGACUGCACAAUGGUACAAUGGUUAGCAAAGGUAGUUUGGCAAUUUCUCUCUUUUGAUUCAGCAUUCCCACUCCUUGGAAUUUAUUCAACAGAUAUACCUGCACAUGUUUAAGAUGAUACAUGUGCCAGAUUGUUCAUCCAGUAUUGUAAUAGCAAAACAUUAGCAACGAGCUAGGAUUCCAUCCAAUAGGAGAAUGGUUAAAUAAUCCAUGAUAUAUCUACAGAUGAAAUACUAUGUUGUUGUCGGAAAAAAAGAAGAAAUUCUCUGUUUACAAAUAUGAAAGUUCUAUGAGAUAUAAAUGUAAAACAGCAAGAGUGAGAUCAAAGCAUGAGAUAUUUUUUGAUACCUAGGAGGAAACUUAGAAUACGUAUUCAUAUUUUCCUACGCUUGCAUAGAAACACUAGAAGGAUAUAAAACACUUAAAGAAAAGUUGUUUGCAACUGGAGAUAUGCCUGGGGUCCUGGUCAUGGACGUAAGACUGAGAUAUUUUACGGAUGAGUUUUUGUUGUUAUUGCUGUUUUUUUCUUUUUUUUCCUUUUUUUUUUUUUUAACUUCUUGAAAACACAUGAAUGGAGUGGAUAAAUAAUGAGAUCCUGCUGUAUAGCACAGGGAACUAUAUCCAGUCACUUGUGAUGGAACAUAAUGGAGAGUAAUGUGAGAAAAAGAAUGUGUGUGUGUGUGUGUGUGUGUGUGUGUACAUAUAUAUAUGACUGAGUCAUUUGCUGUAUAGCAGAAAUUGACAGAACAUUGAAAAUCAACUAUAAUAGAUAAAAUAAAAAUCUUACAAAAAUAAUUAAAAUACAGUAAUACUUCUUUUUCAGUUUUUGUUUUUUUUGGUUUUUUUUUUUUCCCACUGUGGGUUUUGACAGUUAUUCUUUCCACCAUUACCUGGGGUCAAAUACUUAGGCUUAUUUAUGUAUUAUCUCCUGGAAAAUACAAAAGUGACCCUGCCCUCACUGGUGCCUUCACAAACGUUUCACUUUCAAAAGAGAAAUCAGUUAAUGAUGUUCUCUGGCUAUUUGGACUCCAGGAAACAAAAAGCCUAGUUUUGCCUUUUAUAUUCCCUGCUGAGCUCCCAGCUGACUGACAGCUAGAAUGCUCUGAGUUUACUUGUCUGGGGAGGCAGAAAACAACAGAAAGCAUCCAGCACUUAUUUUCCAAUAUAUUUCCUUCUCCGCUGAAUUUUGAAAAGGUUCCCUCCAGCUAAAACUGGUUAGGCUUCUUUCUAGAGAUGUUGAGUGCAGACUGCAGCCAUGCAGGUUUUUUUGAUUGGUUGUUUUUUGUUUUUUAUUUUUAAAUUGAGGUUUAGCGCCUGGCUCCCACCUCUUCUACCUGAACACCACCUCCAUUUCUGAGAGUCUGGAUCUUUAACUACUAAGAGAGAAUGAACAUGUAGUUAGUGUGUUUACAGUCAGUUUCUUUUCACUGUUUAACCAACAUGGUCACAAAUAAAAAGUGAAGGACUCUUCUGAGUAUGAUUAUGGGAAGCAGGCACUAGGCCACAAAGGAUCCUGGAAACACUAUCUGAAGGAAAAGAAUCCACUCAAUUUGAUUUCUUAGCCUCAUUUCAAAUUCCUUCUCAUUCUAUGUGAAAUAUUAAGAGCUGAGAGAUGAAAUAAAAUGGUUGUGACACUUCCUUUCAGAAUACCUUUAAUGAAAAAAAAGACUUCUUUAAAGAAAAAUUAUUUUUCAGUUAUUCAUGGACAACUUAGUUCCCAUAAUUCCUGCAGAAGCUGCAAGAGCAGAUACCUAGAUGUAUAGAUAAAUAUCCGAAAUAAAAUGAUGUAACUAUUAUAAUGACUCUGUUCAUUAACACCUCAGUUAAUACAAGAGAAAUUGUGGGACAGGUUAUGAUAAAAUUAGGUACCAUGAAUAAGAGUCACUAAGUUUCUCUGUAUCAAUUAGGAAAGCAGAUUGAAAUGAAGAAUCUCUUGCAGAAAUUAAAGUUUAUACAAUUGGAGGGAAAAUAGGUUUUAGAGGGAAGUUAGAGGAUCAGAGCAAAGUCACUAAUGAGCUCCCUUGAAGCAGGAGCACUGGAGGACAUGGUGGAGCUUGCAGGGAGAUCUGGAGUUCAGUCACGUCGAGCUUAGACUGCAAAGGGAACUGGUGGAGAAGUCUGUGGAAAACUGUUUCCCUCCAAUCUUGUUGCUGUUGGUCAGCAGAAGUAGCAUAUGGGAAAAAGAGAUGUACAUAAGGCAGGAAGAGGAAGAGAAUAAAUUGGGGUUCACUAGCACCUCUUUCUCUGUCUUCUAGGGCAGGGAAGAGCAAGGGUAAACUCAAACUUACAUGCAUCUCCAUGCCUCCUUCUCACUGUAUCUAACCCAUGACAGCCUCAGAGAAUAAUGGCUACCAACUCACUCUGUUUCCCUAAUCUCACUUUUGCUUCCAAAAUUUCAUUUUGCACCAACAGAAAACCUGGACCGCACAGGGAGGAGGAUUCUGAGAAAUGCACUGUCAGUUUGGCCGAGUUGACACUGAAUGGUAGCACCACACAGUACAAUUCAAUGAACAGAUACUGAGUAUUUACUCUGCACCUAAUCUUAUGUUACGAGAUAAGAGACACUGUCUAUAUCCUCAGCAAGAGAGCCAUUCAUUAAGGGGAAAAAAACAUUGUAAUCAAGGUGGGAAGAAUAAUUCUAACUCUGAUGGUUGGGUAACUCAACACUAUACUCAGCCCAUUUCUCUCUGGCUCAUUAUCUCUACAAGAGAAGAUGAAGAAAUUAAUUAAUCAGUUUGACAGCCUCCUUUGUAGCUAGGAGUAAUCAUGUGAUGAAAUUAUUGCAAAUUGGAUCUAAUUGGAAUUCUAACUGGUGCUUUGGGAAAGCUUAAUUUUUUUCUAAUGAUGAGAGAAAGCCCAGCUCUGACCUUGAAGGUGGAUAUGAAUCUAUUGUGUUAGUGACCAUCUUUCAACUAUGAGGAAUGGCCAAGAGAAUUUCAGAGAUGCUGCCCUAGACUUUGCUGAUGUACUAAAUGCCAAGAGACGUCAUAUUCUAGAUUUCUCAAUAAGUAAGAAAGACUAAACUCAUUUAUUGACGCCCUUGUACUUUGAGUUUCCCAUUACCUGCAAUUAAAUACAGCCCUAUUUCACUAUAGAAAUAGCUAUAGUGAAGAAAAGAGAAAAAAAAAUCAAGAACAGCUUCCCUAAGGAAGACACAGCUGCACUGGUUUUUGAAUGUCCAUGUGGAUAAAGAUAGAGAAUUUUACCGAGGUAUGUAAAUGCAUAACAACACAAUAUAUGAGCAGGUGCUUUACUACAUUAAAGCAGAGAUGUUUCUUAUGGUAUCUCCAUGUCCCACAAGUUCAGUAUAUAUCAUCCAGUUGAAAAUUAAUGGAAAUAAACAGAAUCUAAUGUUUUUAAACCUUCUCUAACAGCAUUGAGGUCUGAGUAGGGCAAUACUCAGAAUGAAUAUUCCAUCAUUGAUUGAUAUUGGAUGAGUGCUUUGGAGAGAAGCAAUCAGAACCAGAUAUUGUUGAUAAGAACAAUGGACUAUUAUUAGCUCAAGUGCAAAUGAGGGGAAAUCAGUUAGGGACUGGCUAAAAUCAGUAGCUUAGAACAUAUAAUAUUAUGUUGAUAUAUGUGCUAGCACUUCUUUAUGCAUAAAAGACAGACAUCAUUUUCUCGCCCUAGUCACCUGCUGAUCCAGGCUCAUCUUCAGAAUCCUUCUCAACAUAGGACUUCAGUUGAUCACUGUUUAUCAAUUUAGAAUUGGUAUGUGAGAAAAAAAUCACUUGCAAGCAUCAUCUUGAAAUACUAUUGGAGAUGAGGAACUUGAAAAUGAAAACCUCAGGGCAAUCCUUACAUUUCAGGUAAAUAUAAAAACACGGGCAUGAGAGGUAUAAAAGAAGAGUUUAGCAUGAGGAGAAUGCGAUAACCAUCAUACUACAGAAACUUGAUAAGAGUUCAGUGAUGGAAAGGAAAAAUUUUGUAUCUGAUAGUUCUUCUGGGUUUGAAUUCUGGAUGCUGCUUGGGGGGAAUUUUUCUCUCCGUUUUCACCAUCUCUAAAAAUGUGGUAAAAAUACCUAACUCAUAGAUAUAUUGUAAGUGAUCAAUUAAUUUAUGUGAAAAUAUCUAUAAAAUAUCUGUGAUGAUAGAAUGAUAACAAUAAGUCUUAGAGCAUUUGUAUUUGAAUUCAAGGAGGAAAAAGCAAUUGUGACUAGCAAGUGGGAAUCUUAUCCAAUGGAAAUUCUUGGGCCAUUUCUAAUUUGAAUGGAAUUAAGAACACAUAUGAAGGGAGUUCCUGUCAUGGCACCGUGGAAAUGAAUCUGACCAGGAACCAUGAGGUUGUGGGUUCAAUCCCUGGCCUCCCUCAGUGGGUUAAGGAUCUGGCGUUGCAAUGAGCUAUGGUGAAGGUCGCAGACUCAGCCGGAUCCUAUGUUGCUGUGGCUGUGGCAUAGGCCAGCAGCUGUAGCUCCCAUUGGAUCCCUAGCCUGGU
rnacentral:lncRNA from 1 species